rnacentral:rRNA from 2 species
UUUAUCCUUCGGGGUACGAGCGGACACAGGUGGUGCAUGGUUGUCGUCAGCUCGUGUCGUGAGAUGUUGGGUUAAGUCCCGCAACGAGCGCAACCCUUGUCUUUAGUUGCCAUCAUUAAGUUGGGCACUCUAAAGAGACUGCCGAUGACAAAUCGGAGGAAGGUGGGGAUGACGUCAAAUCAUCAUGCCCUUUAUGUCCUGGGCUACACACGUGCUACAAUGGUCGGUACAACGAGAAGCAAGCCAGCGAUGGCAAGCAAAUCUCUAAAAGCCGAUCCCAGUUCGGAUUGCAGGCUGCAACUCGCCUGCAUGAAGUCGGAGUUGCUAGUAAUCGCGGAUCAGAAUGCCGCGGUGAAUGCGUUCCCGGGUCUU